AUUAUUUAUUUUUUUUUAUUUUAAGAGUUGAUGAUAGAAAGAUAUGAAGUUUAAGGCAAAUUAAGAAUAAAAUUCCUUAUUUCUAAUAUCUUCUAGUAUUCCACCAUCAAAAAUAAUUAGUUAGAUACAAAAAUUAUUAUGUGUUGUGGUGAUUAUACAGUCUUUUCAUUUACAAAUACCAAAUAAUGUCAAAACUAUAAUUAUGUUAUGUUGCUAACCUCUUUCCUUCAUAUUGUAUUAUACGUGCAAACUUAUAGGCUCUGUUAGUUUCAUGAAAAAGAAAAAUAUUUUUCACAUUUCCUAGAGUUUGGGAAACUCGAGAAAAUUGAUCAACAUAAAAUAUUUUCCUAAUUAAAGGGAAAUCUAAGUUAUUUUUAACAAAAAUUACUUUCUCUUUUGAAAAGAGAAAGUCAAUUUCUAUUUUCUAGACUUUGAUAAUUUUAUUAAAAUGUGA
rnacentral:misc_RNA from 1 species